AUUCCGUAGGUGAACCUGCGGAGGGAUCAUUACCGAGUUAUACAACUCAUCAACCCUGUGAACAUACCUAAAACGUUGCUUCGGCGGGAACAGACGGCCCUGUAACAACGGGCCGCCCCCGCCAGAGGACCCCUAACUCUGUUUUUAUAAUGUUUUUCUGAGUAAACAAGCAAAUAAAUUAAAACUUUCAACAACGGAUCUCUUGGCUCUGGCAUCGAUGAAGAACGCAGCGAAAUGCGAUAAGUAAUGUGAAUUGCAGAAUUCAGUGAAUCAUCGAAUCUUUGAACGCACAUUGCGCCCGCCAGUAUUCUGGCGGGCAUGCCUGUUCGAGCGUCAUUACAACCCUCAGGCCCCCGGGCCUGGCGUUGGGGAUCGGCGGAAGCCCCCUGUGGGCACACGCCGUCCCUCAAAUACAGUGGCGGUCCCGCCGCAGCUUCCAUUGCGUAGUAGCUAACACCUCGCAACUGGAGAGCGGCGCGGCCAUGCCGUAAAACACCCAACUUCUGAAUGUUGACCUCGAAUCAGGUAGGAAUACCCGCUGAACUUAAGCAUAUCAAUAAG
rnacentral:rRNA from 1 species